rnacentral:misc_RNA from 1 species
UUGGUCCACUCUAAAUUGUCGUUGUUGAUUAGACGGCCGUUCAAACGGAGAGAUAGGCAGAUAACCGACGAGAAGAGAACCACUCAGAACGCAGCACGAAAUCGCUCACUCAAGAAGCGCUCAGCAAAGAGCUUUGCAAUAAGCUCGAGCGAGGUCUUGUUGCGAGCAAACGGCCAAGGUUAUUGAAACAAAGAAGUCGUGUAUGUUGCGAAUCGACAGUAUAGAAAACAUUGUGUAAAAACACGUGAUUGUAACCUCAUAAGUUACAGGGCAUUACAAAUAGAUAUAUAUUACUGUGAAAGUGCGGUGGAUAAUAAAAAGGCCAUUCUUGGGCAAAGAGUGUGGACCAGACCUGCCACCAGUUUGAGCCAGCUGCACGCCUUCAUAAGGUACACCGCGGGAGUGAUUCACCCCGACGAGGUUGUAAUUAGUCAACCUUACUUCAUUGCAUCGACAUCAGAAGCGUCGCUAGGCAGCGGGACGGAAGUGAGGAAGUGCGUUUAAUCCAAGAGGACAACUUCAUCCCACGGAUCCCGACUUCGUGGAUCACGGAUCCCGACCCGUGCAUAUUCGCUAUAUUGAAAUCAACUUCAUCUCUGCGUCGACGAACAUUGGGCCCAACGAUCGCAUCGACUUCAAAAUUUAAAUAAACAAAAACAUAAAGCACCUCUGUGAAACUGGGAUACUGGGAUAAUGUACUAGAAGAGGAAGGCGAAACAGUUGGCCAAAAAUGUUGCAACGCCCAAGUUGGCAGUGCGCCACAUAACGUUGCCCCCCUUCAGCAUCCUGUGAGUCCGUGAGUUGAGUGUUCCAAAAAUGGCGGCACCCACGUCUAUGGAAAUCAUCAGCUGCCUGACGCUGCUCCUCGGCAUGCUCAUCAGCAGCGGCUACUGCAUAGACUGUUUCAAGUGCGUUUCGUAUAACGGCGCUAAUAAGGCGUGCGAUGAUCCAUUUCAUAACAAUUACUCCACUGCCAUACUCGAAUCACCCUGCAUGGGCGGUCGCAAGGGUCGCGAUGGCCUCUUUCCCGCAACGGCUUGCAUUAAAAUCGCCGGAUAUUAUGAUGACAACGGCGAGACGAUAACGGUGCGAGGAUGCGCCCUGGACAGUGGCACACUCACAACAGACACAGAGAUCAUAAGAAUGUCGCAUUGUGGCAAAUUCUACUAUGACAACAGGUACGUACACGGCUGCCUUCAGAGCUGCAGUGAUGCGGAUGCCUGCAAUGGUGGCCACCCAAAGGACGUGGAGUCCUUUCUACUUAGCAUCGCGCUGCUGCUCUUGGCGUCUGCAAGGUAGCAGUGACAACAUCAACAACAAUGAAAUCAGCAAAAUGAACAACAAUAGAUGUUGCUAGCAUCCCAUGGAAGAUGAAGGGAUUUAGCUAAAUAAUUGCACACAAGGAUUACACAGGAUAUCAUGGCGAAAACAAAGCGAAA